AUGCUCUGCGGCCGCCGGGGUCCCUGCGGUCCCGCGCAAAGCCCCCGCGGCGGUCGGUCCCUCAUCACGUCCCCCCGGCCGCCACCUCUCCCCACCUCCCGAGCGGAGGCUUCUCUCUUCCCUCCCUCCUUCCCCGGCGACAGAGGAGGAGAGAGGGAGAAAAAAAAAAAAAAAAAAAGAACCCACCCAGACCAACCCUUCCCCCUCCCAACGGCUGCGACCGAGUCGCCUCCGUCCGCGCGCGCGGCUGGCGCCCAGAGGGCCGAAGCCGGUGGGGCUGGCGGCGGCGGACGGCCGGGGAGGGAGGGGUGGGGGCGGCGGCGGCGGCGGGGGGGGGGGGGGGAGGGUCGGCCGGCGCUGCCCGGCCGCUGGGGGGCUGCUCCGGCCGCGCGCCCCCGGACUCGGCUCGUCUCCGUCGGCGCGGUGGGUGCCUCGCGCUCCCCCCCCCCCCGCUCUCGCGCCUCGUCCUCCCCUCCCCCCCCCGCCAACGCCGGCCUCGCGCGCCCAACGGUCUCCGAACGUUGGGAAGGCGGGAAGGGGAGGCCGGGGGGGGGGGGGGCGCGCGGCGGUCGUUUGUCUGAGGCGGCUUCUUUACCUGGCGGGGGCGGCGGCGGCGGCGGCGGCAGGGGCGGCGGGGGCGGAGGGGGCGGCGGGAAGAGGUGGCAGCCGGGGGGGCUGUGGCGGCCCCGGUCGUGCCCGUGCCGGGCUCCCUCCUCGUCGUCGUCCUCCUCGUCUUCGUCCUCCUCCUCCUCUUCGCCCUCUUCCUCCUCUUCUUCCUCCUCAGACACCACCAUCUCCUCCUCCUCCUCUUCGUCCCUCAGAGGGGAAGCCAUCCUGCGGCUCUGGCCCCCCCACCGCCCCCCCACCCACCGCCCGCCUCCCCCACCACCACCACCACCUCCUCCUCCUCCUCCUCCUCCUCGUCGUCCUCCUCCUUCUCGUCCUCCUCACCUCCUCCCCCAGCCCCCAAAAAACCCGGGCCACCCCCACCCCCCCACCUUCAACCCCUCCGUCGGAGGGGAGGGGGAGGGGGUGGGAAAAAAAACCCCAAAAAAAUUUCCUGAGGAGAAAAAUCGGGGGGGGGGGGGGGUGUGUCUAUGGAGAAAGCUUCCCCUGGGCCCCCCCCCCAGCAGGAGGCAAGAGAGCGAAAACGGGGCCAAAAAACGAUCCCUAUACUCUAUAUAUAAAAGUUUUCGACUUCUUCUCCUCUUUUCCCUCUUCUCCCCCCUCUUGUUGUUUUAA
rnacentral:lncRNA from 1 species